rnacentral:lncRNA from 1 species
AUGGAGCUCAGGACCUUGCACUUUCCAGGCAGGUGUGGAGCCACUGAGCCACAUCCCAGGCCCAUGAAGAGAUUAUGUUUCAGAGAGUGGCUGGCUUAUUCUGGGCAAACCUUGAAGGGAAAGCUCUACCAUGGACUGCAAUGCUUCUGUUGUAAUGUGGGUCUCACAGGCCUGUGGCUGAACAAUGCUGUUACCAACUACAUCCCCUAGGAACCUGCCUCAUUGUUGGCUCCAUGCCUUCAGAAGAGAGGGCUGCCCACCCUGCUGACCAUGAGGAGACCAGCUACUAAAUACUCAUACUCUGCAGUGACACUUGAAUUGUGAAAUCAGCGUCCACAUUUCCAAACAACUCUGCACAAAUUUACCUCUUUUACUCGAAGAGAAGACAUCUACAAGUACUCUUUUUUUCACUCUGUUCAUUUAAAGAUUCAAAUAAGAGAAAGAAACAAAUUUGGGCAUUAUGUGACUAUUAAGGAUUCAAAUAAAAGAAAUAAAAACAUUUGGACAUUGUGUGAUUAUGAUUUUCUUGCUUACAACAGAGAGCAAAAAUGGUAACCUGAGGAUGAAUCAUCAAGGGUCUAAAUGUUGCUUCAGGGUAGUAAGACUUUAAAAAGAAAUAAAAUGUAUUAUAGAAAAGUCAGGCUUUUUUC